rnacentral:rRNA from 1 species
UAAGCAUAUCAAUAAGCGGAGGAAAAGAAACCAACAGGGAUUGCCCUAGUAACGGCGAGUGAAGCGGCAACAGCUCAAAUUUGAAAUCUGGCUCUCGGGCCCGAGUUGUAAUUUGUAGAGGAUGCUUUUGAUGCGGUGCCUUCCGAGUUCCCUGGAACGGGACGCCAUAGAGGGUGAGAGCCCCGUCUGGUUGGAUGCCAAAUCUCUGUAAAGCUCCUUCGACGAGUCGAGUAGUUUGGGAAUGCUGCUCUAAAUGGGAGGUAUAUGUCUUCUAAAGCUAAAUACCGGCCAGAGACCGAUAGCGCACAAGUAGAGUGAUCGAAAGAUGAAAAGCACUUUGAAAAGAGAGUUAAAAAGUACGUGAAAUUGUUGAAAGGGAAGCGUUUAUGACCAGACUUGGGCUUGGUUAAUCAUCUGGGGUUCUCCCCAGUGCACUUUUCCAGUCCAGGCCAGCAUCAGUUUUCCCCGGGGGAUAAAGGCUUCGGGAAUGUGGCUCUCUUCGGGGAGUGUUAUAGCCCGCUGUGUAAUACCCUGGGGGGGACUGAGGUUCGCGCAUCUGCAAGGAUGCUGGCGUAAUGGUCAUCAACGACCCGUCUUGAAACACGGACCAAGGAGUCGUCUUCGUAUGCGAGUGUUCGGGUGUCAAACCCCUACGCGUAAUGAAAGUGAACGCAGGUGAGAGCUUCGGCGCAUCAUCGACCGAUCCUGAUGUUCUCGGAUGGAUUUGAGUAAGAGCAUACGGGGCCGGACCCGAAAGAAGGUGAACUAUGCCUGUAUAGGGUGAAGCCAGAGGAAACUCUGGUGGAGGCUCGCAGCGGUUCUGACGUGCAAAUCGAUCGUCAAACAUGGGCAUGGGGGCGAAAGACUAAUCGAACCUUCUAGUAGCUGGUUUCCGCCGAAGUU